GCUGGGCAUGGUGGUGUGUGCCUGUAGUCCCACAUACUUGGGAGGCUGAGGUGGGAGAAUCACUUGAGCCCAGAAGUUUGAGGCUGCAGUGAGCUAUGAUCAUGCCACUGCACUCCAGCCUGAACAACAGAGUGAGACCCUGUCUCUU
ensembl:misc_RNA Metazoa_SRP Metazoan signal recognition particle RNA